rnacentral:rRNA from 1 species
GGGCCCGCACAAGCGGUGGAGUAUGUGGUUUAAUUCGAAGCAACGCGCAGAACCUUACCAGCCCUUGACAUCCUGAUAGCAGGGACGAGAGAUCGACCCUUCGGUUCGGCCGGAUCAGAGACAGAUGCUGCAUGGCUGUCGUCAGCUCGUGUCGUGAGAUGUUGGGUUAAGUCCCGCAACGAGCGCAACCCUCGCUAUUAGUUGCCAGCGGUUCGGCCGGGCACUCUAGUAGGACUGCCGGUGAUAAGCCGGAGGAAGGUGGGGAUGACGUCAAGUCCUCAUGGCUCUUACGGGCUGGGCUACACACGUACUACAAUGGCGGCGACAGAGGGAAAAUCCCUAAAAGCCGUCUCAGUUCAGAUUGUCCUCUGCAACUCGAGGGCAUGAAGGUGGAAUCGCUAGUAAUCGCGGAUCAGCACGCCGCGGUGAAUACGUUCCCGGGCCUU